rnacentral:rRNA from 1 species
GAGUUUGAUCCUGGCUCAGGAUUAACGCUGGCGGCAUGCCUAAUACAUGCAAGUCGAACGGAGUAGCAAUACUUAGUGGCGAACGGGUGAGUAACACGUAUCUAAUCUACCAUUUAGUGGGGAAUAACUGUUGGAAACGACAGCUAAUACCGCAUAAUAUUGCUGGAUAAUUUCCAGUAAUGAAAGGAGCUUUCAAGCUCCGCUGAUUGAUGAGGAUGCGGCGCAUUAGCUAGUUGGUAGGGUAAUGGCCUACCAAGGCAAUGAUGCGUAGCCGAUCUGAGAGGAUGAACGGCCACAUUGGGACUGAGACACGGCCCAAACUUCUACGGAAGGCAGCAGUAGGGAAUUUUUCACAAUGGGCGAAAGCCUGAUGGAGCAAUGCCGCGUGACUGAUGAAGGUCUUCGGAUUGUAAAGGUCUGUUGUAAGGGAAGAAAUGGUAAAACAGGAAAUGGUUUUAUCUAUGACGGUACCUUACCAGAAAGCCACGGCUAACUAUGUGCCAGCAGCCGCGGUAAUACAUAGGUGGCAAGCGUUAUCCGGAUUUAUUGGGCGUAAAGGGUGCGUAGAC